ACAGAAGACUGCAAAAAACACAAUCUUGCACAAAGCCCAUUGCAACUUUGCACACAACAAUGCUUCUGAAGGAUAUUUGCCCAACAACUGCCUGUCCAGCCUGGGCCUGGCUUGUGAACAUGUUGUUAUGAGUACUUAGAACAAGUAAUAAUGGCUUUUGAUGUAUAGUAGUAAGAAAGCUUCCUUUUAAAAGGCAUGUAUUUAAGUUUCAAAAGUGGGGCUAUUUAAAAAUAUAUGAAAUAAAUAAUAGUAGAGGUAAUUGACAGAGCAAAAUUAUGAAGGCAGGAUGAGAAUGACUCAAGUUUGGGAAAUGCUGAGAAAGCAGAUGCCCAAGGGCUAUGAAAACUUAAAAAAUAGGUAGCACUUGAUUUUGAUUGGCUGAAUGAGAUGAUGUGUUUGAUCACUUAUGGGGUUGGCAUUUGGCAACAUGCACUGGGCGGCUGGGAUCACUGUUUAUUAAAAAAUAUUUGAGUCUCUACUUUGCACUAGAUACUCUUUUAGUCUCUUGGAAAAGGGAUUGGGGCAGGCAGGAUAAAAACAAAUCAUUUAUGCCCACAAGAAAAUUGCAGGAAGAUAAGAGUCAAGAAAUAAACUCUGUGCUUCUAAUUUAAU
rnacentral:lncRNA from 10 species